CAGUGGGGAAUAUUGGACAAUGGGCGAAAGCCUGAUCCAGCAAUGCCGCGUGAGUGAUGAAGGCCUUAGGGUUGUAAAGCUCUUUUACCCGGGAUGAUAAUGACAGUACCGGGAGAAUAAGCUCCGGCUAACUCCGUGCCAGCAGCCGCGGUAAUACGGAGGGAGCUAGCGUUAUUCGGAAUUACUGGGCGUAAAGCGCACGUAGGCGGCUUUGUAAGUAAGAGGUGAAAGCCCAGAGCUCAACUCUGGAAUUGCCUUUUAGACUGCAUCGCUUGAAUCAUGGAGAGGUCAGUGGAAUUCCGAGUGUAGAGGUGAAAUUCGUAGAUAUUCGGAAGAACACCAGUGGCGAAGGCGGCUGACUGGACAUGUAUUGACGCUG
rnacentral:rRNA from 1 species